UACGGGGGGGGCAAGCGUUGUUCGGAAUUACUGGGCGUAAAGGGUUCGUAGGUGGCCAACUAAGUCAGACGUGAAAUCCCUCAGCUUAACUGGGGAACUGCGUCUGAUACUGGUUGGCUUGAGUGCAGGAGAGGAACGCGGAAUUCCAGGUGUAGCGGUGAAAUGCGUAGAUAUCUGGAGGAACACCGGUGGCGAAGGCGGCAUCCUGGACCGGCAUUGACGCUGAGGCGCGAAAGCCAGGGGAGCAAACGGG
rnacentral:rRNA from 1 species